CACCGCCUGGGGAGUACGACCGCAAGGUUAAAACUCAAAUGAAUUGACGGGGACCCGCACAAGUAGUGGAGCAUGUGGUUUAAUUCGAAGAUACGCGCAGAGCCUUACCAACACUUGACAUGUUCGUCGCGACUUUAAGAGAUUAAAGUUUUCGGUUCGGCCGGACGAAACACAGGUGCUGCAUGGCUGUCGUCAGCUCGUGUCGUGAGAUGUUGGGUUAAGUCCCGCAACGAGCGCAACCCUCACUUUUAGUUGCCAUCAUUUAGUUGGGCACUCUGAAAGAACUGCCAGUGAUAAGCUGGAGGAAGGUGGGGAUGACGUCAAGUCCUCAUGGCCCUUACGUGUUGGGCUACACACGUGCUACAAUGGUAUCUACAACAGGAAGCAAAACGGCGACGUUAAGCAAAUCCUUAAAAGAUACCUCAGUUCGGAUUGCACUCUGCAACUCGAGUGCAUGAAGCUGGAAUUACUAGUAAUCGUGGAUCAGCGUGCCACGGUGAAUGCGUUCCCGGGUCUUGUACACACCGCCCGUCACACCAUGGGAGUUGGUUCUACCUUAAGGCAAGGUUUAAAACCCUUGACCACGGUAUAGUCAGCGACUGGGGUGAAGUCGUAACAAGGUAGCCGUAGGGGAACCUGCGGCUGGAUUACCUCCUUUCUAAGGAUGAAUAAAAUUUUAAAUUUUAUUCUAAAAAAUAUACACGGUUAAUGUUGACCGUCCUCAUUUCUCUUCUUAUGUUAGUGUUUCUCUUGCAUGGGGGCCGGUAGCUCAGUUGGUUAGAGCACACCCUUGAUAAGGGUGGGGUCGAAAGUUCGAGUCUUUCUCGGCCCACCAAUCUAAAGAUUAAGGGGGAUUAGCUCAGCUGGGAGAGCGCCUGAUUUGCAUUCAGGAGGUCAGCGGUUCGAUCCCGCUAUCCUCCACCAAACACUUAGUUAUAAAAAUUGUGAAUAAAAAUAAUAAUUAAUAUCAAUAUCUAUAUCCGAACAUUAGUAAUGUUAUUAGCUAGUGUUCAAAAUAAAAAUUUGAUUCAACACAGAAUUUUUUUCUG
rnacentral:sRNA from 1 species